CUUCCAAGACACAAGAACCAGAACUAGAAGCUGAGCCUGAGACCUGAACCAGAACCAGAACUAGAACCUGCCAGUCAUGUUUGCUUCACCUCGUCUUUUAAAGCGUCUCCGGAUGAAGUAGACGAUGACGAUGAUGAAGAGGAUGAGCACGAGGACGGAGAUGAUGAUUCCAAGCACCAAAUAAUGAGGAAGAUGAUCCUCAUGAUCUGCCAGAGAGACAAAAUUUGAGAUGAUUCAUCAUUCUCUGGUCAGGACGCCAUUAAAGAUUUU